rnacentral:rRNA from 1 species
UAACAAGGUUUCCGUAGGUGAACCUGCGGAAGGAUCAUUGUCGAAACCUGCAAAGCAGACCGCGAACACGUCGAACAACUCCGAAACCCCGCCGGCGCUCGCACGAGUGCGCAGCGCCGCGCGGGCUAACGAACCCCGGCGCGGAAAGCGCCAAGGAAAACUGAAAGUAGCGCCGCCGCCCGGCACCCCGUUCGCGGGCAGUGCCGUGCGGGCGUGCGUCUAUCGAAUGUCAAAACGACUCUCGGCAACGGAUAUCUCGGCUCUCGCAUCGAUGAAGAACGUAGCGAAAUGCGAUACUUGGUGUGAAUUGCAGAAUCCCGUGAACCAUCGAGUCUUUGAACGCAAGUUGCGCCCGAAGCCGUCAGGCCGAGGGCACGUCUGCCUGGGCGUCACGCAUCGCGUCGCCCCCUCCCUCGGGACGGGGGGCGGAGAUUGGCCUCCCGUGCGCCCCGGCGCGCGGCCGGCCCAAAUGCGAUCCCCCGGCGACCCGUGUCGCGGCAAGUGGUGGUUGAACGUCUCAAUCUCGUUUCUCGCCGCGGCCCCGGAUCGUCCGUGCGGGCAUCGACACGCAAAAGACCCAAACGGCGAAUGCCUUCGACCGCGACCCCAGGUCAGGCGGGACCACCCGCUGAGUUUAAGCAUA